rnacentral:tRNA from 1 species
GCAAUGUGGCUCAGUGGUAGAGUGUUUGCCUAGCAUGCAUGAGGCCCUGGGUUAGAUCCUGAGCAACA